UUGGGAAUCUGACGGGCCUCC
rnacentral:miRNA from 1 species